AUAUUUACUUCAUGCUUCUUGAUAUGAUCUUUAACAGUAAGAUACUUUAUAUCGAUAUGCUUCCUAUGACUUUCACUUUUAUCAUUCUUAGAACAAAAUUACAGUAGAAUUAUCACAAUAAAUCUUUUUUAGCCCUACAAUAGAAUUGACAAAUCUCAAACCAUAAAAGAGCUUCCUCAUCCAUAUUGCCUGUGAAGUAGAUUCAUAGCAUGCAACGAACACUGCCUCUAUGUUAGAUGAAGUAACUAUAGAUUACUUAUUAUUUCUCCAAGAUACAGCAC
rnacentral:lncRNA from 1 species